CAGCCUGGGCUCGGCCACGCGCAGAUGAGGGGCUGGAUCCCCGGAUACGAUUGUGCGCCCGGUGCUGGAGGAACAGCUUAGGAAGUCCGCAAGAGGUGGGGUUCUGAGCCCGGCCUGAAGCAGCGCAUCCGCGGAGCGCGAAAGCGAGGGCGCAGCCCACAUGCCGGCGCCCAGCAUCCGAGCGGGCUUCGGAAUCUGGUCUUGCUGGAAAGAGAUGGCUCAGCGGUUAGGAGCACUGACUGCACUUUCAGAGGUCCUGAGUUCAAAUCCCAGCAACCACAUGGUGGCUCACAACUGUCCUGGAACUCACGCUGUAGACCAGGCUGGUCUCGAACUCGGAAAUCUGCCUGCCUCUGCCUCCCAAGUGCUGGAAUUAAAGGCCUGCGCCACCACGCCUGGCUUUUUUUUUUUUUUUUUAAGUUGUAUUUAUGCUGUCCUCAGACACACCAGGAACUAAAAAACUAGGAAAAACUAAAGGUCCCACCCUGUCUCCCAGUCUUUGGCCACUGGCAUCUUUCUUGAUCGAUCCAAACCAAUGGGCACAGGGACCUUUAACGUUUGGACAUGCAGAUUCCCAAUUAAAUCAAAGCAUUAGAACCAAUCCCCAUCAAAGAGAGACCCUCCUGUUCCCAGACUGUCCAGGACAUGGUGUUCCAAUGCUGAGAGUUCAUAGAUGCUGUUCCAUGAUACCAGGCACUGGCCUGGGGUGCUGCAAGCCACGUGGGGAGACCUGAAGGCACAGACAGGCCUCACAAGAUCCCUGGCUGC
ensembl:antisense Gm29292 predicted gene 29292